rnacentral:rRNA from 1 species
AUCUGGAGCAAAACUCUAAAAAACGUACUCAGUUCAGAUUGCAGGCUGCAACUCGCCUGCAUGAAGUCGGAAUUGCUAGUAAUCGUAGGUCAGCAUACUGCCGUGAAUACGUUCCCGGGCCUUGUACACACCGCCCGUCACACCAUGAGAGUUGGGAAUACCCGAAGCCUGUGAGCUAACUUUUAGAGGCAGCAGUCGAAGGUAGAAUCAAUGAUUGGGGUGAAGUCGUAACAAGGUAGC